rnacentral:rRNA from 1 species
UACGGGGGGGGCAAGCGUUGUUCGGAAUUACUGGGCGUAAAGGGCUCGUAGGUGGCCAACUCAGUCGGACGUGAAAUCCCUCGGCUUAACCGGGGAACUGCGUCCGAUACUGGAUGGCUUGAGAUCGGGAGAGGGAUGCGGAAUUCCAGGUGUAGCGGUGAAAUGCGUAGAUAUCAAGAGGAACACCGGUGGCGAAGGCGAGUCCCUGGACAACACCUGACACUGAGGCACGAAAGCUAGGGGAGCAAACAGG